GGUUUCCAAGCCUGAGAUGCCCGACAGCCCGGAAGAGGGUGAGGGACUCUAAAAGACAGCCUACUUAACAGAUGGCUUCAUGCCCAAUAUGGGACUUGAACUCACGACCUGAGAUCAAGAGUCAUGUGCUCUGCAGCCUGAGCUAGCCAGCACCCCUACAAUUAAUUCAUUACUUACUUUGCUGCCCCUUUAGCCCAGGUCAUGAUUUCAGCGUCAUGGGAUCAGGCUCCGUGCUCAGUGGGGAGUCUGCUUGAGAGUCUCUCUCUCUCUUUCCCUCUGCCUGUCCCCCACAAAUAAAUAUUUUAAAAAAUAUGUCUCCAUCUUUCUCUGAGAACGUCCUUAGUUUUAGCACUACAAGCUGUUCCAUGUUUGGUUUGGAAUAUCCCUGGAAUCAGCCAUUUCUCCAAGGGGGCUGGUUCCUCUUCUUGGAGAAUGGUAUUGAGAAACUAAGAUCUGGGAGGUUGGUGUGCUCACUGCUACUGGGGUAUCAUUCAUUGCUCAGAGAUCCU